AACGAACGCUGGCGGCAUGCCUAACACAUGCAAGUCGAACGAGACCUUCGGGUCUAGUGGCGCACGGGUGCGUAACGCGUGGGAACCUGCCCUUAGGUUCGGAAUAACUCCCCGAAAGGGGUGCUAAUACCGGAUAAUGUCUUCGGACCAAAGAUUUAUCGCCUUUGGAUGGGCCCGCGUUGGAUUAGCUAGUUGGUAGGGUAAAAGCCUACCAAGGCGACGAUCCAUAGCUGGUCUGAGAGGAUGAUCAGCCACACUGGGACUGAGGCACGGCCCAGACUCCUACGGGAGGCAGCAGUGGGGAAUAUUGGACCAUGGGCGAAAGCCUGAUCCAGCAAUGCCGCGUGAGUGAUGAAGGCCUUAGGGUUGUAAAGCUCUUUUACCCGGGAUGAUAAUGACAGUACCGGGAGAAUAAGCUCCGGCUAACUCCGUG
rnacentral:rRNA from 1 species